rnacentral:misc_RNA from 1 species
AACGCACAUUGCGCCCCCUGGUAUUCCGGGGGGCAUGCCUGUUCGAGCGUCAUUUCAACCAAUCCAGCCCGGCUGGGUGUUGGGCGUCGCGGCCCCCGCGCGCCUCAAAGUCCUCGGCGGAAGCCGCCCGUUCCUCUGCGUGAUGCAUCAUCUUCGCUCGGGAGUCGGGGGCGAGCGCCCGAACGCAUCGGCGGAGACGCCGAUUCUCAGGUUGACCUCGGAUCAGGUAGGGGUACCCGCUGAACUUAA